ensembl:lncRNA
AACUCGGCAAAGCUGGGCGCCGGCUCCUCUGGGAGGCGCUGCGGGCUGGGAGCAGGGGGGCCACGGGUGAGUCUUCCUGCUCACUUCGCGGUAGGCGCUCCUGCCUUGGGUGUAGCUGGUGGUGGGAGUGCUGACUGGAGGCGGGGUGGCGGGGAGAGGGGCUUGGGUGGGAGUCCUCCCGGGUAGGGCCCACACUCGCCCCGCCGGCCUCAGACUGGCUCCUGGGAGACCAGACAGCGUCUGCACAACGAACCCGGCCAGAGGCUCCGACUUGGCCCCGGCGCUGCACCGGCCUGCGGUCCCUGUGUGUGGGCCUCGGUUUCCACGGGAGGUUGAGUGCAUUCCGCUGUGCGACCCUCUGGGGGCGGCAGGGGGCGCCCCCGGCCCACGGGAACGCGCUCGGGGGGACAAAGAGGGUGCGCGACAGCCAGAAGCAGCUCUGACAGGGCCACCGGCUCAGCCUAGUGUUGGGGACACAGGUCAGUGGAGCCCAGCUUGGCAGCAGGUUCCCUUGCUCUUACCUCAUCUGCACCUGCUGGCUUCUGGACAAGGAGUGGGAUCACGUGGUCCAGGAGGAGCUCGGCACAGAAAUCCCACUGGGCCCUGGAAACGCAGAUGUGACAAUGGACAAGAUCCAUCUGAAAGUUUUGAAGAGAAUAAAGGAGGAGUAAAGAUGUAUAUCAAAGAAACUGGAUGUGGCUCUACCCUAGAGAAUAAGAGAAUCUUCCUGAAGAACUUCCCAAAUAAAAUACCUUGUUUUUCUUCGUGAAAUCUGAUCCUGCUGUUUGGUUUCUGAUAAAUACUCUAUCGAAAGAGGGAAAGUUCCCUUUUAUACUUUGUUUAUUGAAAGCUGCUUUUAAAAAAUGUGGAAUGGAUGCUGAAUAUUAUUAAAUUCCUUUUUAGUCCCAUGAACAUAACCACAGCUUCUCUCUUUUAGAUUAUUAGUGUCAUAAAUAACACCAAUAGUACUAAUAUUGAACCAGCCUUGCAUUCCUGUAUUCUUGCAUUGUAUUGGCACUUUAUUCUUUUCCUGGCCUACUGGAUUCAUCCUGCUAAUAUUUUAUUCAGGAUUUUUGUUAUUUUUUCACAAGUAAAUAUUAG